UACGAAGGGGGCUAGCGUUGCUCGGAAUCACUGGGCGUAAAGCGCACGUAGGCGGAUUGCUAAGUCAGGGGUGAAAUCCUGGAGCUCAACUCCAGAACUGCCUUUGAUACUGGCGAUCUCGAGUCCGGGAGAGGUGAGUGGAACUGCGAGUGUAGAGGUGAAAUUCGUAGAUAUUCGCAAGAACACCAGUGGCGAAGGCGGCUCACUGGACCGGUACUGACGCUGAGGUGCGAAAGCGUGGGGAGCAAACAGG
rnacentral:rRNA from 1 species